rnacentral:rRNA from 1 species
GAUGAACGCUGGCGGCGUGCCUAAUACAUGCAAGUCGAGCGAACAGACGAGGAGCUUGCUCCUCUGACGUUAGCGGCGGACGGGUGAGUAACACGUGGAUAACCUACCUAUAAGACUGGGAUAACUUCGGGAAACCGGAGCUAAUACCGGAUAAUAUAUUGAACCGCAUGGUUCAAUAGUGAAGGACGGUUUUGCUGUCACUUAUAGAUGGAUCCGCGCCGCAUUAGCUAGUUGGUAAGGUAACGGCUUACCAAGGCAACGAUGCGUAGCCGACCUGAGAGGGUGAUUGGCCACACUGGAACUGAGACACGGUCCAGACUCCGACGGGAGGCAGCAGUAGGGAAUCUUCCGCAAUGGGCGAAAGCCUGACGGAGCAACGCCGCGUGAGUGAUGAAGGUCUUCGGAUCGUAAAACUCUGUUAUUAGGGAAGAACAAAUGUGUAAGUAACUAUGCACGUCUGGACGGUACCUAAGCAGAAAACCACGGCUAACUACGU